GCCACGGUGGUCUAGCGGUUAGAACGCUGGCCUUGUAAUCCUGGGGUCUCGGGUUCGAUUCCCGGCGG
rnacentral:tRNA from 1 species